UACUAUAGCUUGACACUGAACAUUGAGCCUUGAUGUGUAGGAUAGGUGGGAGGCUUUGAAGUGUGGACGCCAGUCUGCAUGGAGCCGACCUUGAAAUACCACCCUUUAAUGUUUGAUGUUCUAACGUUGACCCGUGAUCCGGGUUGCGGACAGUGUCUGGUGGGUAGUUUGACUGGGGCGGUCUCCUCCUAAAGAGUAACGGAGGAGCACGAAGGUUGGCUAAUCCUGGUCGGACAUCAGGAGGUUAGUGCAAUGGCAUAAGCCAGCUUGACUGCGAGCGUGACGGCGCGAGCAGGUGCGAAAGCAGGUCAUAGUGAUCCGGUGGUUCUGAAUGGAAGGGCCAUCGCUCAACGGAUAAAAGGUACUCCGGGGAUAACAGGCUGAUACCGCCCAAGAGUUCAUAUCGACGGCGGUGUUUGGCACCUCGAUGUCGGCUCAUCACAUCCUGGGGCUGAAGUAGGUCCCAAGGGUAUGGCUGUUCGCCAUUUAAAGUGGUACGCGAGCUGGGUUUAGAACGUCGUGAGACAGUUCGGUCCCUAUCUGCCGUGGGCGCUGGAGAACUGAGGGGGGCUGCUCCUAGUACGAGAGGACCGGAGUGGACGCAUCACUGGUGUUCGGGUUGUCAUGCCAAUGGCACUGCCCGGUAGCUAAAUGCGGAAGAGAUAAGUGCUGAAAGCAUCUAAGCACGAAACUUGCCCCGAGAUGAGUUCUCCCUGACUCCUUGAGAGUCCUGAAGGAACGUUGAAGACGACGACGUUGAUAGGCCGGGUGUGUAAGCGCAGCGAUGCGUUGAGCUAACCGGUACUAAUGAACCGUGAGGCUUAACCUUACAACGCCGAAG
rnacentral:rRNA from 1 species